UACGGAAGGUGCAAGCGUUAAUCGGAAUCAUUGGGUUUAAAGGGUCCGCAGGCUGUUUUUUAAGUCAGAGGUGAAAUCCUACAGCUCAACGGUAGAACUGCCUUUGAUACUGGCAAACUUGAGUUAUUGUGAAGUAGUUAGAAUGUGUAGUGUAGCGGUGAAAUGCAUAGAUAUUACACAGAAUACCGAUUGCGAAAGCAGAUUACUAACAAUAUACUGACGCUGAGGGACGAAAGCGUGGGUAGCGAACAGG
rnacentral:rRNA from 1 species